GGUUCCGGGUUCCUGGAGAUCACGGGGCCGCAGCGGCUGUUUUCCGUAAAUCGCCGCUGCGUCCGCGUUCGCUUCCGCUACCUGCUAGAAACCCCCUCCUGAAAGUAGCCGGAGGUGAAGUUGUAGAUAUGGAUGACCACCAUGAAGCAAUAGAUGAAAUGCGGUGUGCAACAUCACAAGAGAAAACAAAAGUCAGAGAGGAAAGUAAAAGGAAACGGAAGCGAAGCAGAAGCAGAUCAUCCUCCAUCUCUUCCUCUACAUCUUCUAAUUCUUCUACAUCCUCGUCUUCAAGGUCUUCUUCAAGGUCUUCUGCCUCACAAAGCAGAAGCAGUUCAAGUAGCAGAGGUAAGAAUGUUUUGUUACAGUUAUGAAAUUCAUUUUGUAGAUGCUGCCUUUAGAUGUUAUAUAGCCAAUAACAAUUAUUGACCUAGCAGGAGUAAAUAUAGGUGGUCCUCCAGAAACGUCCAUUCAUUUAACCACUGAUGGAAAUUAUGAUGGUACUGAAAACAUGAACUUAUGACUGUUCUUCAAAGCCCUGCCUAAUGCAGUGCCCCCCACGGUCAUACUUGAAUAACAUUUAGGCCCACUUGCAUUUAUGGUCACCCAUCCUGCUGUUGCCACACAUGAACACAUCUCUAACUGACUGUAAUCCUUGCUUGCCACUCGUCUGCUGGGUUCACCACCUUGGCUGCGCACAGAGUAGACAUUGUGAAAAUAUCCUACAGAGUUCUAGAUGAGAGCUACUCUCGGGGCAUGGGGUGCAUAGUACACUACUAAGUGCUGGGAUCUUCUGCUAGUGCAAAAGAAAGCGAGCAUGAAAGAAGGUUCUGGCUAACACACAACGCCAGCAAAAGAAAAAAAGGACGAGCAAGCAUGUGAAAGAAGGCAUUAGAAAAGAAGACCCAGCUAGUAGUGCUAAACAGUAUGGCAAUCACAACAGCAGGCAAGACAGCAGCGCAAAGGCAGGCAACCAAAUGGAAAAGCUUGGGGGAAGAUAAGUGGGUGAACGGAGUUGCAGUAAUUCUUUACUUUCUUCCAAGAAUGGCUCGGUGGGCCCUUGCCUAAUGACCAUAUGGGAUUCACUCAAUGACACCAACUGGGAUUGCCAGAAUUGCUGUUUCUUAGCCAUGUAGUUAUGAUAUUUCGCUUAAUGACCAUUCCCUUAGU